rnacentral:rRNA from 1 species
ACGGCUCAGUAACACGUAGUCAAUCUAACCUAUGGAUGGGGAUAACCUCGGGAAACUGAGAAUAAUACCCAAUAGAUCAUUAUGCCUGGAAUGGUUCAUGAUUCAAAUGAUUUUUCGCCAUAGGAUGGGACUGCGAUCUAUCAGCUUGUUGGUGAGGUAAUGGCCCACCAAGGCUAUAACAGAUACGGGCUCUGAGAGGAGAAGCCCGGAGAUGGGUACUGAGACACGGACCCAGGCCCUAUGGGGCGCAGCAGGCGAGAAAACUUUGCAAUGUGCGAAAGCACGACAAGGUUAAUCCGAGUGUUUUCUGCUAAAGAAAUCUUUUGUCAGUCCUAAAAACACUGAUGAAUAAGGGGUGGGCAAGUUCUGGUGUCAGCCGCCGCGGUAAAACCAGCACCUCAAGUGGUCAGGAGGAUUAUUGGGCCUAAAGCAUCCGUAGCCGGCUGUGUAAGUUUUCGGUUAAAUCUAUAUGCUCAACAUAUAGGCUGCCGAGAAUACUGUACAGCUAGGGAGUGGGAGAGGUAGACGGUACUCGGUAGGAAGGGGUAAAAUCCUUUGAUCUAUUGAUGACCACCUGUGGCGAAGGCGGUCUACUAGAACACGUCCGACGGUGAGGGAUGAAAGCUGGGGGAGCAAACCGGAUUAGAUACCCGGGUAGUCCCAGCUGUAAACUAUGCAAACUCAGUGAUGCACUGGCUUGUGGCCAGUGCANUGCCGCANGGAAGCCGUUAAGUUUGCCGCCUGGGAAGUACGUACNCAAGUAUGAAACUUAAAGGAAUUGGCGGGGGAGCACCACAAGGGGUGAAGCCUGC